UGCAACACACACUAAACCCCUGAGCUCAGCCCAAACGGAGACUCCUUGGAGCCCAGAAGUAGCUGCUCGGAGCGCUCCUGGGUCCGUACUGCCAGCCCCGUAGCCCGUCGUCUCCCGAACCAGACACUGCCUCUCACGGGGGCGGAGGGAAUCCCUCCGCCUGCCUGACCCACAAAGCCUGGGAGAUGGAAUCCCUGCGGUUUGCUUGUCUCUGUGAACUGUGCGACUGUGGGUAAGUGAGCGCUCGAACAGGCACAGAGACACACGCCCUUAUUUAUUUUUGCUGAAGGCUUCUAGAGCAAGACUGGAUUCGUUUCGCCUUUCCCCCCCCUGCACACACCAGACCUGAUCUUAAGCAAAAGCUGCUGGCACUGAGUUGGGCAGGCGGGCUAAAAGCCAUGGGCAGCGGAGAAGGACAGCCGGCUGCUUUAUUUCUCUCGCUCUAGGUCUCUUUCUCUCUGCGUUAGUAUGGAGCCAUUUUAGAAAGAGCUAUCAUCACUUGUACUGCUGUGGAAACCUAGAGGCAUGAGAAAGUCUCUGCCCCACAGAUCCUCCACGUGCGUGUCCAUGGAUAUAUUCUGUAGUGUUUACCCACAUCCCUGGGGACUUACAGUUUUUAACCACCUCUUUACAGAACAUGACAGGGGCCUGCAGCCGUGCCCUGAGCCAUGUUGCUAGCGGGAGUUGGGUAAUAGCAGGCGGGGGGGGGGUCAUUUCACAGUAUUUGGUAGCAUCCCGCUCCUAGCUCCACCACAGGAGAGAUCUCUUCCUCCUACCAAUUGCAUCAGUCUCCCCAGAAGCUCUGAGAGACGCCGAGUAGAGGGCAGCAAUUCUCAGGGGCCCAUCAUCCGACUGCCCAGCACCCAGCUCCCAGCGAGCAGACCCGGCCGCCUUGGCGGUCACCUCCCCUGGCUCUGAUGGCUCCCCUGAGGCAGGCAGGCUGGAUGUGGAGAAAGUUCCCAGAGGGGAGGGGAGCCCGGUUUCGGUUUCUCUCUCUCAGCUGCUUCUCUGUCACGCUCAGUCGACACAAGCGCCACAAGAACUGCAAGAAGCGGAGCAGGCCAGCGCCUCAGGACUGCAGGAGGCCCCAGCUGUCCCAUUACAAGGCAACUUACACCCAGCCACCAAGUAAGCGAGGGGAACCAAAGCAGCCUCCCUUGGGAGCGUUUUACACAUGCCCCGUGCGCCUCCCGGUCACCUCCUCACUCUUCCUGCCCUCCAGACGUGCAUCCUCGAAGCAGCAAGAGGCCGCUCCGCACCCCUCCACACCCCAACCCCCCGGCCAUGGCCUUCAGCACCACGCAGCGGGCAGAGUUCAUUCCCUGGGAGCUGGGCCAGAGGACCAAGCCGCCUGUCCAGGCGCUCUCCUGUCCCCUGACCGGGCAGCCGAGAUGGAAAGCACCACGCAGCGAGAGUUCACUGAGAAACGCAUCCCCAAACCGGAGCUGGUCAAAGGCCUCCAGGCUCAGCUCACCAUUGAAGGUGAUCAUGACAUGACGACAACCCACCAGAGCACCUACCAGUCUGUGCCCUUGGAGAAGCGGGUAGCCCAGUCACGCGGUAAAGGAGUAGUGCCAGCAGGGAAACGAGCCCAGGUGGAAUACAUGACCAAGUACCAGAGCGAUUUCCCAGCAUGCAGCUUGUUACCUGCACGGAUUCAGCCUGCUCAGCCUCCUCUGGACAACCUGGCAAUCAACCAGGGCUUCAGCACAGAUUUUCAGACGGUGCAGAGGGAAAGCUACCAUGGCUGGGACACCCGCAGAUACCCUCGUGCCUGCCCCAUCAAGCUGAAAGAGGAGCUGGCAGACUUGGGGAAAGAGAGGGAUGGAAAAUUCAGUGGAGACACUGUGACCAAGCUCUCUUACCCUCCUCUGCCCUUGGACAGGCCUCCGGGGACUAUCCAGUGGCCCCCCACAGUGCUGAGAUCCCUCCCUGCAAAGUUUGAUGAUUCCACAGCCCACAAGUUCUUCUUCAGAGAGUGGAGAGUCCAGCCCCGAAUCCGGCAAGGUGACCCCCACGAUGGAGUCUACAUCCGACCUCUGGGCAAGUUUGAAAGCCAAACUACCACACACAGCACAUUCCUGCCCCAGAGAGCGGAGAAGGUGAAGAACUGCAAACCAGAGCAGAAACCCAUCCAAGCACAGGGAAAGCAGGAUUUCUCCACCAUCCACAGGGAGUCUUACAGGCCAAUCCCACUCCCAGUCUGUCGUUUGCAAAUGUACUUGAUCCAGCAACAGCAGCAGGGAAGAGAAACAAUGAAUUCUCUUGUGCCCGUUAAAGCCUGAUAUGCAGUGUGGAUCCAGGUCCCUCAGCCAAAUCAACUCUGUCCCCAGAAUGCUAAUGGGCAAACCAUUACUAACUAGACAAUUUGAUAAACUGUUUUUUGUGCAUCUUAGCAACAUUAAAAUGGCAUCUAAAAUCUCUGAAACUUGAGUGCCUACACUGCAGAGGUGUGAUUGCAGCUCGCACAGAAGUACUCACACUAACUUUUAAUCUAGCUACCAUGGCUAAAAACAAAGAUGCAGCAGCACAGAAUAGGAACCCAAGUACACAGCAAGGGUUCUCGGCAGGCUUGUACAGCCUGCAGGUCUUCACUGCCUUUUAGCCAGGUUAGCGAGAUUCAAGCUAGCGUGGGUAAGCAAUCACAGUGCAGACACAUCCUAGAAUAGCUGCCGUUAAUUUGGGUGUUGUGCAUGGAUGUGGUGGUUUAAGUUACAGCAAUACAAAAUGUAAUAGCUAUUGAAAUUAUUCAAUAAUUUGUACCUAAUUUCAUUGUAUUUCCUGUUUGUUUAAGGAUUCUGUGGGAAUGCUACCAUUAAUAUUUUAACACUAGCUUUCAGAGUGCAUUAGUCUAUUUUGCAUUUUAUUUUAAAGAUAAUAAAAAUUGCUUGUGCUUAGUAUUAGCA
rnacentral:lncRNA from 1 species